ACAGGGAUUGCCCUAGUAACGGCGAGUGAAGCGGCAACAGCUCAAAUUUGAAAUCUGGCGUCUUUGGCGUCCGAGUUGUAAUUUGCAGAGGGCGCUUUGGCAUUGGCAGCGGUCCAAGUUCCUUGGAACAGGACGUCACAGAGGGUGAGAAUCCCGUACGUGGUCGCUAGCCUCUACCGUGUAAAGCCCCUUCGACGAGUCGAGUUGUUUGGGAAUGCAGCUCUAAAUGGGAGGUAAAUUUCUUCUAAAGCUAAAUACUGGCCAGAGACCGAUAGCGCACAAGUAGAGUGAUCGAAAGAUGAAAAGCACUUUGGAAAGAGAGUUAAAAAGCACGUGAAAUUGUUGAAAGGGAAGCGCUUGCAGCCAGACUUGCCUGUAGUUGCUCAUCCGGGUUUCUACCCGGUGCACUCUUCUACAGGCAGGCCAGCAUCAGUUUGGGCGGUUGGAUAAAGGUCUCUGUCACGUACCUCCUCUCGGGGAGAUCUUAUAGGGGAGACGACAUGCAACCAGCCUGGACUGAGGUCCGCGCAUCUGCUAGGAUGCUGGCGUAAUGGCUGUAAGCGGCCCGUCUUGAAACACGGACCAAGGAGUCUAACAUCUAUGCGAGUGUUUGGGUGUCAAGCCCGAACGCGUAAUGAAAGUGAACGGAGGUGGGAACCCUUUGGGGUGCACCAUCGACCGAUCCUGAUGUCUUCGGAUGGAUUUGAGUAAGAGCAUAGCUGUUGGGACCCGAAAGAUGGUGAACUAUGCUUGAAUAGGGUGAAGCCAGAGGAA
rnacentral:rRNA from 1 species